UGAAGGCCCUAGGGUCGUAAAGCUCUUUCGCCUGUGAAGAUAAUGACGGUAGCAGGUAAAGAAACCCCGGCUAACUCCGUGCCAGCAGCCGCGGUAAUACGGAAGGGGUUAGCGUUGUUCGGAAUUACUGGGCGUAAAGCGCGCGUAGGCGGAUUAGUCAGUCAGAGGUGAAAUCCCAGGGCUCAACCCUGGAACUGCCUUUGAUACUGCUAGUCUUGAGUUCGAGAGAGGUAAGUGGAAUUCCGAGUGUAGAGGUGAAAUUCGUAGAUAUUCGGAGGAACACCAGUGGCGAAGGCGGCUUACUGGCUCGAUACUGACGCUGAGGUGCGAAAGUGUGGGGAGCAAACAGGAUU
rnacentral:rRNA from 1 species